AAGUCGUAACAAGGUUUCCGUAGGUGAACCUGCGGAAGGAUCAUUAUUGAAAAGGGAGCCCUUCGGGGUUCAACCUUAAACCCUAUGUCUUAAUUACCUGUUUCUUUGGCGGGCUUGCCCGUCAGAAGUUUUCUCAAACCCAUUAUAAAUGUGUCAUCUGAAUAACAAACAAAAUAAAUUAAAACUUUCAACAACGGAUCUCUUGGUUCUG
rnacentral:misc_RNA from 1 species